UAAAUGAAAAAUACACUACAUGGGAAUUAUAGCAUAUUCCACACUGAGAACAAAAAUACCAGUGAAAUUGAAGGCAUAGCAAUGGGAAAAGAAAGCAUGAUGAAUUAAAAAAUAAAGUCUCAGGAGUUCCCGUCAUGGCGCAGUGGUUAACGAAUCCGACUAGGAACCAUGAGGUUGAGGGUUGGGGAUCCGGCAUCGCCGUGAGCUGUGGUGUAGGUUGCAGACACGGCUCAGAUCCGGUGUUGCUGUGGCUCUGGUGUAGGCCGGUGGCUACAGCUCCGAUUGGACCCCUAGCCUUGGAAUCUCCACAUGCCGCGGGAGUGGCCCAAGAAAUAGCAAAAAGACAAAAAAAAAAUAAAUAAAAUAAAAUUUAAAAAAUAAAUAAAUAAAUAAAUAAAAAUAAAGUCUCAGUGACUUGUUGGGUAACAGUAUCCAGUAGUAUAAUACAUGUUUAAUUGGAGGCCAAAAUGGGGAGUUAAACAACACUUGAAAAAAUUGUAAUUUUUUUCCAAAUUUGAUGAAAACAAUAAAGCUCCAAAGCUGAGUAAAUAUUUUAAAAGACACAGAAAAAUGCAUAUCAUAGUAAAAUUGCAGAAAAUCAGUGAAAUAUAAGAUGUUAAAACCAGCCAGGAGUGUAACAUUAUUUAAUGAGAGAAAAGAAAAAAAAAAGUGUUAAUAAUUACUUCAGACUUCUAUCAGAAACUAUGAAAACCCAAAGAAAAUGAAGAAAAUGAAGUGAUGUUUUGAUGGUGCUGAAAAAAAAAAUACUAAAAAUGUCAAAACAGUCAUCUAUACUCAGUGUAAGUAUCUUUUAGUAAUGAGUUUUUCAGACCUAAAACAUUAUAAGACAUGCUGAAGGAAGUUCUUUAUGUGAAAGGUAAUGACACUAAAUAGAAAUUCAUAUCUGUACAAAUAAAUGAAGAAAAUCAGGAAUGGUAAAUAUGUGAAUAAGGAUGAGAUAUACUUUCCUAAUUUGUAAAUUUCUUUUAAAAAUAUUUUCUGGAGUGAAAGCAAUAACAAUGUAUUAUAGAACCUAGAACUUAAAGAAUGGUGAGCUGAAAUAGAGUAUCUUGUUAUGAGGUUCUUAAGCUGUAUGUCAGUAAUGUAGUAUUUAGGUCUUUACUAGUUCAGCAGUUUAAGAAUGAUUGUAAUAAGGUACUGAGGUAUAUUGUAAAUAUUAAAGCAAAGUAAUCAAGUAGAAGAGAUAACAUGGAAUACUAAUAAAUUAAGCUCAAUUGAUCUCACGUUACCAUUAAUUUACAUGGAUUAACCAAAAUAAAGACAGUUAAUCAUUGAUAUAUAAAUCAUUGAUAAACAACUUAAUGGAAUAGGAAUUCCCUGGUGGCUCAGUGGGUUAAGGAUCUGGUAUUGUCAGUGCUGUGACUUGGGUUGCUGCUGGGGUGCAGGUUUGAGCCCUGGCCCCGGAACUUCUGCAUGCUGCAAGUGUGGCAAAGAAAUAAAAAAAUAAAUUAAUGGAAUAAAACAGUCAAGAGAUGGAUCAAAACAUACAUGUUCAAUUGCCAAGGUAAUUAAAUAGACUAGAGAAGAAUCUUUUCAGCAAAUGGUGCUGGAACUGAAUCAUUCAUAAGGGAAAAAUGAACCUCGCACUAUACACAAAAAUUAACUAAGUUUGCAUCAUGGACAUAAAAAUAUGUCCACAAAUUACAAACCACAGAAAGGAAACAGAAAAAAUUUAUGACCUUGAGUUAGACAAGAUUUCUUAGAUCACAGAAAAGAAUCAUAGACUUAUGUGCCGGGGGGCUCUAUCUAUCAAAGUUCUAGAAGGAAAUCUUUGUGACCUCGGAUUGGAUAAGAUUUCUUAGGUCUCACACAGAGAGCAUGCACAUAAAAGCAAACAUGAUGUUAAACUACAUAAAAUUAAGAAGUUUUGCUUUCCAAAGAAAAACAUUAAGGCAAUGAAAAGGCCAGAUGCAGAAUGGGAGGGAAUAUUUACAAAGCAUUUAUCUGAUAAAGGAUGUGAAUCCAGAGUAGGUAAAGAACCCUUACAAUUCAAUAACUGAAUGCCCAACAACUGACUAGAAAAAAGCAAGCAAAAGAAAUAAAUAUUCCCCAAAUGAAGAUUUAUGAAUGAUCAGUAAACAUAAGAUGCUCAGCAUUGUUAGCUAAGAGUGUAACACAAAACUACAAUGAGUCACUGCAGUGGCUUGGGUUGGUGCUGUGGUGAGGGUUUGAUCCUUGGCCAAGGAACUUUCCCAUCCUGUGGGUGUGGCCAGACAAAACAAAACAAAACACCUAUAAUGAAAUGCCUCUGUACAUAUUCUGGAACUAAAAUUAAUAAGGCUAACCUUAAAUAGACCGAAAAUACUAAGUGCUGGUGUUGAUGUGGAGCAACUGGAAAUAUCAUACAAUGCUGAUGAUUAUGUCAAGUGAUACAGCCACUCAGGAAAACAGUUUGGAAAUUUACUAUCAAGUUCAGUGGCCUCAGUGAGCCUAACGUUAAAGAAGCUUUCUCAUCCACGGUGCAGCUUACUAUGCAUUUGUAUUUUUAUCCACCUAUUCACUUAAAUAAUUAUGUAAGGAAGGAUCUUGCUAUUAGGGCCACUUAUAACUACAACAUGACAAACACAACUUGGUACUAGAGAACUUAGAGUUUAGUUGGUUGGCUAGUGAAUUGGGCUAAUAGAUUACAGUGUGCAGAAGGGUCCCUAGGGGACCAUGUAGAGAUAUCAUUGAUGCAGAUUUAUGGGAUAAGAGAAGGCUUUUCAAAAGUAAAGAUAGCCAACCUAAAGCCCAUCUGGCUACCAUCUUUCUGUGCUUCAGCCCAUGUAGCUUCUCAGAUUUGUGCCGGACGAUACCCUAAAGUGAAGGGAUCAGAACUUCACCACAAAAUGAUUUCCUCUCUAGUGAGAUGAAGGCAGGAACAUGGACAGUGGUAUGAACCAUGGGCUUUAUCACAAGACUAGACACAUUUGAGCCUUGGCUGCCAUAUCUUGUUUACCUGUAUAUACUUAACCUUCCAGACUAAUUGAAUGAAGCAGAGAACUGCUCUCUGAAUAGUCUACUGAAUGAAUAAUGAGAAGAUUGCUGGGCAGUGCAUGAAUCAGGAAUUAAAUCCAAUGGUGAUGAGGUAUACCGGGUUAUCUGGGGACUCUGGGUCUGUGAGUAAAUAGUUACUGCCACUAUUUACAAUGAAACCUAGCUGGCUUGUUGGUAGCAUCAUAUAUGACAGGAUACCUUUGGAGUGCUAGAUUUUUAGGUAAAAUUCGGAGUGACCUACCUCUGCUCUUACUAUGCAUAUUCUUCAUAAGUAAAUAAAUACUAAGCCUGGAGAAAAGCUUUCUAACACUGUUUAAAGCUCUGUAGUGGUAGAGAAGCCCAGCUCUCUCAGACUAUUCUUACCAGACUAAAAAUUCCUUGAUAUUUAUAUAUAUUUUCUAUGAAUACAGAAUAUGGAUAUUACUUUAAACAAGUUGGUUCAUAGAUAUAGUCAAGUAACAGAAGAGUUCUUAUUCACAGAAAUUGAUUUAAAAAUAACAUCUCUGAUCAUUGCAAUCUGAAAUCAAUGUUAUUCAGAUUGUGUUAACUGAAAAAAAAUGUAUUAUUUGGUCUCUAAGAAAAAAUGAGUCUUAUUUCUUCAAAACUGGCUAAAUAACCUAAGGUACCGAGGUCAUAGAAAUGAAAACAAGGCAUUUGAUAUACUUUUCCUUUUUUUGUAAAAUGUAAAUCUCUUUCUGUUCUCUCACAGCUGCUUCUUUUUUUUUUUUUCAUUUUUAUCUUUCUGUUUUUCUUAAUUCAUAUACUUUUAGUUUCCAUUUUGCUUUGGUCUUAUUACCUAGGCUGUGAAGUUUUCAUAUUCUCUGUUGAAAUCAAUGGUUCCCAAACUUGAGUGUAUAUUACAAUCACUUAGAAGGCUUGGUAAACAGAGACAACUGGGCGACAACUCCAAGGUCUCGGAUUCAGAGGAGGAGGGAUGGAUGUGAAAAUCUAAAUUUGUAAGUUCCCAGGUGAGGCUAAUGCCUUUGGUCCUGUGACCACAGUUUGAGAACCACUGACUUAUAAAUUAUCCUUCUGGUAGCAGCCAAAGGAGGUUGUGAAUGUUCCAAGAUGAGCUAAAAAGGGAGUUUAAGUGGUCUGGAAGCCUCUCUGCAAGAGAACCAGGCAAUAAAUCUCCUGUCUCCAGAUUAGUUGCCAAUAUUGUUUUUAACCUUGAGAUUGGAGACGCUUUAAAAUCUUUUUAUAGCAGUUCCAAUAGAUGAUAAUCUCAGAAAGUGUGUCAUUGUGAAACUUUUAUCAUUGUUGCCUGGUAAGUUAUUUUUCUCGGUUUGCAUAAUCACCUUGUAAUCUUUAAGCUCUGCUGAAUAUUUUCUACUGAAAACUUAAAGCUGAUCAUAUCAAGGGGCUCAGCUGCAGAAAAUGAAAAGGAUUAUGUCUUUGUUGAAUAGGUUGAGAAUGAGGAGGAAUCAGUUAACAUAAAUAAAAAAAAAAACAAAAAAAAAUGCAGAGAUCUAUACUGUCUGUACUUUUGGCAUUUCACAGGGUUGAGACACCAUAUCUUGAGUUGCAGGCAUGGUGGUUAAACCCUUUCCAUAUGUUUUGCCAAAGCUAAACAUAACAACGUUAAUAAAUAAAAGCCCUCUGAAAAACCAGGAUCUUCUUUUAAAAUUUCCGUUAAGCUUCAAAACAUCACUUUUUUUCUGUUUUUUCUUCACACCCAUCUUUAUCUUUCUCCCUUUGACGUUCCUCAAUUUCAUUAUGUUUAUGGACUUGCCAUCCAGUCUUUUUCUUAUUCAUGCUUGAUUGUUUGUUUGUUUGUUUGUUUUUCCUUUAUAGUGAAGUUGGUUUCCCUCUUUUUCGAAACUCAUUUUAAGCUUCCAGAUUACAUCUUACUCCUAUGGGGUUUUCAUCUAAUACCUGAAGGCAGUACUGUGCAUUUUGUGUAGUGCAUUGAUAGCUGGAAACAAUUGGGUCCCUAUUAGCCAAUUAACCCUGGCAAGAUACAGACUGUUGCCCAAGCUCUGAGGCCUUUUGAUCCUGACACUUGGCACAUACCAUUUGGACUUAACAGAAUUCUUUGCUUCUUCCCCAGCUGUCUCAUAGUUUUUGUUGAACAGGCCAGGGGACAUAGACGAUGGGGAACAUGGGUGAGGAAGAGGAGACAUUGGAAGAGAUAUAAGCUGUUCACCAGAAUCUUAAGAUGCUUUGCUUACCAUUAAAAGGAAAGCCACUUAAAAUUAAGGUUUGCUCUUUGUUCUCUUGUUCAUUUCGACUCCUUGUUAACCUAAAAUUCAGGUCAACAACUAGAGAGGACCAUGUCGCAAAUACUUGAAUGUUUUUGACCGUGUGCUUAGGAAAGGGUAGUUAAUGCAUACCAACCAUACCAACCAACGUAUGCAUUAAACCUUGGGCCCUCUUCAGAGCCCUUCAGGUAAGUCAAUGGGAGCUUUGUGUCAACACGUUGGGAAGAACUGGGCUCGCUGUGUUUGCUUCUUUGCCUUCAGUUACCUGCGUUUGGAUUUUAACCUCCUGAACUAAACCUUUGUGAGUUGUUAUGGCUAGAUUAGCCUCUCAUUCUAUUCCUUCUUCCUCUUCUUUGGGACAACUUGAUCAUUUUUAUUUUGAGAGAAUUCAAAUUGGUAAGUGGUCCCACUCCCAGAUAAGGUAUUAAGGAUUAAUAAAUGCUGAGACUGGCACUGUUUUGGCAGAUGUUCAUAGAUUAGUAACAUGAAAAGAAUGAGAGAAAAAUGAGAUCGGAGAAGAGUUAGUUUUAAUGUAGAGUAGUGGCCCUUUUAUAGGCUCAGUGGACAGUUUUAGGCCAAAGAGUUUUAGAAACCCAUUUUCAAUUCUAAUUAAUCACAUAUGUUUUAUAUUCACAUGUUGCAUGAAGAUAUUGUUCUGUUAGAGACAUUACCGUUCAGAAAUCUUUGUGUAGACAUUCUUUCCUCCCUCAGAUUUUUUUUCCUUUUAUGAUUUCUUUCUUUUUUCUUUUCUUUUUCUUUCUUUUUUUUUUUUGCCAUGAGGAAGUUUUGUUUGGCCUUGAGUAAAUGAAACUUAGAGCCCAAAAUGUUCAGUUAAAUUGAGCUUGAAACUGAAAACCCAUGACACUCUAGUGAGUGUAGAGCAAGAAAGUGUAUUUGCUUUACCCCAGUGGAAUCAUCUGACUUUUCUAGUUCUGUUUCCUCUUUGCUUUCAUAACCAGAAGAUUUAAAAAAAAAAAAA
rnacentral:lncRNA from 1 species